UAGAUACGUUGAUAGGACACAGUGCCUGUAAAUUGUGUCUUUUUAGGAAUUUUUUUUGUAUCAAGUAGAUACUUUGAUAAGACACAAUGUCUGUAAAUUGUGUCUUUUUAGUAAAAAUUUAGUUUUUAUCAGUACGUUGAUAGGACACAGUGUCUGUAAAUUGUGUCUUUUUAGUAAAAAUUAGUUUGUAUCAGUAGAUACAUUGAUAGGACACAAUGUCCGUAAAUUGUGUCUUUUUAGUAUAAUUUAGCCUGUAUCAAGUAGAUACAUUGAUAGGACGCAGUGUCUGUAAAUUGUGUCUUUUAAGUUUACUUUGAUAUGUAUCAAGUAGAUACAUCGUUAGGACACAAUGUCUGUAAAUUGUGUAUUUUAGGAUAAGGGCAUUCGCGGGAUGCAAUGUCUGUAUAUAGAGUCGUAAGUUUUAUCAUUUGCAUAUGUAGGAUUAAAGAUGAUGCAGGUUUACAGCUCCAUAAGAGCUUCAUACGUCAUGGCGGUAUCUGCUCCCAAAAGUUGAGAUGUUACACUAUUAUUAACAAAUUUAUAGUCAAGGGGAGAUAACUCUAAAUUAAUUGACUUUUCAAAAAAUUCAAUUUCAAUAAUUGAUGACAUUUGUCUUUUCAUUAUUACAUAAUAUGCUCAUUGGUUCAG
rnacentral:lncRNA from 1 species